rnacentral:rRNA from 1 species
UACGUAGGGUGCGAGCGUUGUCCGGAAUUAUUGGGCGUAAAGGGCUCGUAGGCGGUUUGUCGCGUCGGGAGUGAAAUCCACUGGCUUAACUGGUGGCUUGCCUUCGAUACGGGCAGACUGGAGGUAUGCAGGGGAGAACGGAAUUCCUGGUGUAGCGGUGAAAUGCGCAGAUAUCAGGAGGAACACCGGUGGCGAAGGCGGGUCUCUGGGCCGAUACUGACGCUGAGGAGCGAAAGCGUGGGGAGCAAACAGG